rnacentral:rRNA from 1 species
AUGAACGCUGGCGGCGUGCCUAAUACAUGCAAGUCGAGCGAACAGACGAGGAGCUUGCUCCUCUGACGUUAGCGGCGGACGGGUGAGUAACACGUGGAUAACCUACCUAUAAGACUGGGAUAACUUCGGGAAACCGGAGCUAAUACCGGAUAAUAUAUUGAACCGCAUGGUUCAAUAGUGAAAGACGGUUUUGCUGUCACUUAUAGAUGGAUCCGCGCCGCAUUAGCUAGUUGGUAAGGUAACGGCUUACCAAGGCAACGAUGCGUAGCCGACCUGAGAGGGUGAUCGGCCACACUGGAACUGAGACACGGUCCAGACUCCUACGGGAGGCAGCAGUAGGGGAUCUUCCGCAAUGGGCGAAAGCCUGACGGAGCAACGCCGCGUGAGUGAUGAAGGUCUUCGGAUCGUAAAACUCUGUUAUUAGGGAAGAACAAAUGUGUAAGUAACUAUGCACGUCUUGACGGUACCUAAUCAGAAAGCCACGGCUAACUACGUG